GACGAACGCUGGCGGCGUGCUUAACACAUGCAAGUCGAGCGGUAAGGCCCUUUCGGGGGUACGACGAGCGGCGAACGGGUGAGUAACACGUGGGUGACCUGCCCUUAGCUCUGGGAUAAGCCUGGGAAACGUGGGUCUAAUACCGGAUAUGACUCCAUAACGCAUGUUGUGGGGUGGAAAGCCUUGUGCGGCUAGGGAUGGGCCCGCGGCCUAUCAGCUUGUUGGUGGGGUGAUGGCCUACCAAGGCGACGACGGGUAGCCGGCCUGAGAGGGCGACCGGCCACACUGGGACUGAGACACGGCCCAGACUCCUACGGGAGGCAGCAGCGGGGAAGUCUUGCGCAAUGGGCGGAAAGCCUGACGCAGCGACGCCGCGUGGGGGA
rnacentral:rRNA from 1 species